GGUCGUAUAGUGUAGUGGUUAUCACUCGGGAUUUUGAAGUGCAAUCUGCGUUGAUAGUUUCCCGAAACCCAGGUUCGAACCCUGGUACGACCU